rnacentral:rRNA from 1 species
UGAACGCUAGCUACAGGCUUAACACAUGCAAGUCGAGGGGCAUCAGGAAGAAAGCUUGCUUUCUUUGCUGGCGACCGGCGCACGGGUGAGUAACACGUAUCCAACCUGCCCUUUACUCGGGGAUAGCCUUUCGAAAGAAAGAUUAAUACCCGAUAGCAUAAUGAUUCCGCAUGGUUUCAUUAUUAAAGGAUUCCGGUAAAGGAUGGGGAUGCGUUCCAUUAGGUUGUUGGUGAGGUAACGGCCCACCAAGCCUUCGAUGGAUAGGGGUUCUGAGAGGAAGGUCCCCCACAUUGGAACUGAGACACGGUCCAAACUCCUACGGGAGGCAGCAGUGAGGAAUAUUGGUCAAUGGGCGCUAGCCUGAACCAGCCAAGUAGCGUGAAGGAUGAAGGCUCUAUGGGUCGUAAACUUCUUUUAUAUAAGAAUAAAGUGCAGUAUGUAUACUGUUUUGUAUGUAUUAUAUGAAUAAGGAUCGGCUAACUCCGUGCCAGCAGCCGCGGUAAUACGGAGGAUCCGAGCGUUAUCCGGAUUUAUUGGGUUUAAAGGGAGCGUAGGUGGACUGGUAAGUCAGUUGUGAAAGUUUGCGGCUCAACCGUAAAAUUGCAGUUGAUACCGUCAGUCUUGAGUACAGUAGAGGUGGGCGGAAUUCGUGGUGUAGCGGUGAAAUGCUUAGAUAUCACGAAGAACUCCGAUUGCGAAGGCAGCUCACUGGACUGCAACUGACACUGAUGCUCGAAAGUGUGGGUAUCAAACAGGAUUAGAUACCCUGGUAGUCCACACAGUAAACGAUGAAUACUCGCUGUUUGCGAUAUACAGUAAGCGGCCAAGCGAAAGCAUUAAGUAUUCCACCUGGGGAGUACGCCGGCAACGGUGAAACUCAAAGGAAUUGACGGGGGCCCGCACAAGCGGAGGAACAUGUGGUUUAAUUCGAUGAUACGCGAGGAACCUUACCCGGGCUUAAAUUGCAGUGGAAUGAUGUGGAAACAUGUCAGUGAGCAAUCACCGCUGUGAAGGUGCUGCAUGGUUGUCGUCAGCUCGUGCCGUGAGGUGUCGGCUUAAGUGCCAUAACGAGCGCAACCCUUAUCUUUAGUUACUAACAGGUUAUGCUGAGGACUCUAGAGAGACUGCCGUCGUAAGAUGUGAGGAAGGUGGGGAUGACGUCAAAUCAGCACGGCCCUUACGUCCGGGGCUACACACGUGUUACAAUGGGGGGUACAGAAGGCAGCUAGCGGGUGACCGUAUGCUAAUCCCAAAAUCCUCUCUCAGUUCGGAUCGAAGUCUGCAACCCGACUUCGUGAAGCUGGAUUCGCUAGUAAUCGCGCAUCAGCCACGGCGCGGUGAAUACGUUCCCGGGCCUUGUACACACCGCCCGUCAAGCCAUGGGAGCCGGGGGUACCUGAAGUACGUAACCGCAAGGAUCGUCCUAGGGUAAAACUGGUGACUGG